AUUGAACGCUGGCGGCAUGCCUUACACAUGCAAGUCGAACGGCAGCACGGGUGCUUGCCCCUGGUGGCGAGUGGCGAACGGGUGAGUAAUACAUCGGAACAUGUCCUGUAGUGGGGGAUAGCCCGGCGAAAGCCGGAUUAAUACCGCAUACGAUCUACGGAUGACAGCGGGGGACCUUCGGGCCUCGCGCUAUAGGGUUGGCCGAUGGCUGAUUAGCUAGUUGGUGGGGUAAAGGCCUACCAAGGCGACGAUCAGUAGCUGGUCUGAUAGGACGACCAGCCACACUGGGACUGAGACACGGCCCAGACUCCUACGGGAGGCAGCAGUGGGGAAUUUUGGACAAUGGGCGAAAGCCUGAUCCAGCAAUGCCGCGUGUGUGAAGAAGGCCUUCGGGUUGUAAAGCACUUUUGUCCGGAAAGAAAUCCUUGGCCCUAAUACGGUCGGGGGAUGACGGUACCGGAAGAAUAAGCACCGGCUAACUACGUG
rnacentral:rRNA from 1 species